UAUUUCCCAUUUUGGGAAUUAGGCUAAGAACUAUGCAGGAGACAGAAAUAAUUCCUUUUUCGAGCCUGGCCAGGCCUGCAGCAGCCUGAACACUGGCACAGAACCAGUGCUGGGAAGGGCCUGAGAGGGGGCAGCUGGGACGGGGCUGAGUCCUGGGCCCAGAGAGACAAAGGCCUGGCUUGUGCAACAAAGCCUCCUCAUCCAGUUCCAGGAACCUGAAAGAUACAAGGCUCCCAGUGUGGAGCUGCCAGGCCAGAAAACAGCUCAAGGAUCUGACACCAGGAAAACUGUGGCUCUUCCCCAAAGUCAAAAUGACCAUGACAAAUGAACAUUUUGAAUCACGUCAAGCUUCUAAGGCAGUCACAAUAGAGCCACAACGGACGUUUUCCAAAGAGGCCAUUCUGAACUGCUUCAGAAAGUAGCAACAACCAAGGGGCAAUGUCCCAAGGGCGCACUGUUCUGAUUUCCGUCCCUACAGCAGAAUCUGGCUUCUCCUGGAACCUCACAUGUGUGCAGUUGCACAGCAUGUCCUUGACCAGGACUAGGAUGCAUCUCAGAUCUCUCCUUGCUGGAUGACCUCAGGCAAGUGCUUAAAAUCUCCACUCUGAUGGGGUGUGCUGGCACAUUCCUGUAAGCCCAACACUUGGGAGGCUGAGGCAAGAGGAUCACUGUGAGUUCGAGACCAGCCUGGGCUACAAAGUGAAUUCAAGGCCAGCCUGAACUGCAGCAAGAUCCUGUUUCAAAAAGACCAAAAAAUAAAAAAUAAAACAAA